CCCGUCGCACCUACCGAUUGAAUGGUCCGGUGAAGACUCGGGAUUGUGGUUUGGCUCCUUCAUUGGGGCCUGACCGCGAGAACUUGUCUAAACCUUAUCAUUUAGAGGAAGGUGAAGUCGUAACAAGGUUUCCGUAGGUGAACCUGCGGAAGGAUCAUUA
rnacentral:rRNA from 2 species